UGGGGGCUGGGGCUCAGUGGUAGAGUGCUGGCCUAGCAUGUGUCAGGCACUGGGUUCGAUCCCCAGCACAUAA
rnacentral:tRNA from 1 species